UACGUAGGUGACAAGCGUUGUCCGGAUUUACUGGGCGUAAAGAGCGCGCAGGCGGUCGUUCAAGUCGAGUGUGAAAGCCCCCGGCUCAACUGGGGAGGGUCACGCGAUACUGCUCGACUCGAAGGCAGGAGAGGGAAGUGGAAUCCCCGGUGUAGUGGUGAAAUGCGUAGAUAUCGGGAGGAACACCAGUGGCGAAGGCGACUUCCUGGCCUGUUCUUGACGCUGAGGCGCGAAAGCUAGGGUAGCAAACGGG
rnacentral:rRNA from 1 species